rnacentral:rRNA from 1 species
GCCUAUAACCUAGCCUACUAUUUUUAUAUAAAAACCUUAUCUAAUAAAAACUAAAUAAAACAUUUUAACUUUUCAGUAGAGGUGAUCAAAAAACUUUUUAGCGCUUCAGAUAAAGUACCGCAAGGGAAAGAUGAAAUAAAAAUGAAAUAACACUUAAGCACUUUAUAGCAGAGUUUUUAUCUCGUACCUUUUGCAUCAUGGUCUAGCUAGUAAAAUUAAGCAAAAAGAAUUUUAAGUUUAACCCCCCGAAACUCGGUGAGCUACUUCGAAACAACUUCAAGAGCUAACCCAUCUCUGUUGCAAUAGAGUGGGAUGAUUUCUAAGUAGAGGUGACAAACCUACCGCACCAAGAGAUAGCUGGUUACUCAAAAAAAGAAUUUAAGUUCUACCUUAAGUUUAUUUAAUCUUUUUAAAUAUCCACAAAACUUAAGAGCUAUUCAAAUAAGGCACAGCUUAUUUGAAACAGGAUACAACCUUAAAUAUAGGGUAAUAUUUCUAGAAAUAACAUUAAGUGGGCCUAAAAACAGCCACCUUUUAAAAAACGUUAAAGUUUACUACUUAUUCUUAACUAAUUCCACCAUUUUUAUAAAACCCAUAAAUUUUAUUGAGUAAUUCUAUACUUCUAUAGAAGCUUUUAUGCUAGAACUAGUAAUAAGAACUUGUAUUUCUCUAUAAUGUAAGUUUAAGCCAUUUUAGACAAUCUAUUGGCAAUUAACGUAAUUGAAUAAAUUUUAACAACACAACAAGAAAAACCUAAAAACACCAACGUUAAUCUUACACCAGAACAUUAUUAGAAAGAUUAAAAGAGAAAGAAGGAACUCGGCAAACUUUAACCCCGCCUGUUUACCAAAAACAUCGCCUCUUGCCAAAAUAUAAGAGGUCCAGCCUGCCCAGUGACAAAGUUUAACGGCCGCGGUACCCUAACCGUGCGAAGGUAGCAUAAUCACUUGUUCUUUAAAUGAGGACUAGUAUCAACGGCAUCACGAGGGUUAAACUGUCUCCUUUCUCCAAUCAGUGAAACUGAUCUUCCCGUGAAGAAGCAGGAAUUAAUUUAUAAGACGAGAAGACCCCAUGGAGCUUUAAACCCAAUUACAUCCUUAUAUUUAAAAUCUUCAUAGCUUUUAAGGUGUUGUAUAUUCGGUUUUAGGUUGGGGUGACCGCGGAGCAUAAAUAAGCCUCCACGAUGAAUGGGAAUAUUUCCCUUAUCUAAGAACUACAUUUCUAAGAAUUAAUAUUUUAACAUAUAAUGAUCCAAUAUUUGAUCAACGAACCAAGUUACCCUGGGGAUAACAGCGCAAUCCACUUCAAGAGCCCCUAUCGACAAGUGGGUUUACGACCUCGAUGUUGGAUCAGGGUAUCCCAGUGGUGCAGCAGUUACUAAAGGUUCGUUUGUUCAACGAUUAAAACCCUACGUGAUCUGAGUUCAGACCGGAGUAAUCCAGGUCGGUUUCUAUCUAUAAAGAGUUAUUUUUAGUACGAAAGGAAUAAAAUAACAUGGCCUAUGCAUAAUUAAGCCAUCACACCUUCAUUAAUGUAUUCAACUUAAUUAUUCAUGACCUUUUAUUGACCCUAGAUAAGGGUUU